AACGAACGCUGGCGGCAUGCCUAACACAUGCAAGUCGAACGAGACCUUCGGGUCUAGUGGCGCACGGGUGCGUAACGCGUGGGAACCUGCCCUUAGGUUCGGAAUAACUCCCCGAAAGGGGUGCUAAUACCGGAUAAUGUCUUCGGACAAAAGAUUUAUCGCCUUUGGAUGGGCGCGCGUUGGAUUAGCUAGUUGGUAGGGUAAAAGCCUAGCAAGGCGACGAUCCAUAGCUGGUCUGAGAGGAUGAUCAGCCACACUGGGACUGAGACACGGCCCAGACUGGUACGGGAGGGAGCGGUAGGGAAUACUGGGCAAGGGGCGAAAGCCUGAUACAGCAAUGCCGGGGGAGUGGUGAAGGGCGUAGGGUUGUAAAGCUCUUUUAGCCGGGAUGAUAAUGACAGUACCGGGAGAAUAAGCACCGGCUAACUCCGUG
rnacentral:rRNA from 1 species